CAUACUAACAGUCACACACACACACAGAGGCCAAGUGAAGAGACCCUGUUAGCAUAUAAACAAAAGGUGGGGGGUAGACCCUGAAGCCUUUCCUCUGACAGCCAGUGGCGGCGGUGAUGAAUUUGUGAAGCUAUCUCAUUUUCCACUGUUUUAAUUAGAGACUUGGGCUCUGAGGCCUCGCAGCUGGCGUCUUUGUGCUGUGUUCUGUUGCCUGACAAAGAAAAAUGCCUCCUCUAACGUCAGCCAAGCUCUGCGCCUGACCUGUGUUCCCACACAUCAGAGAAGCCCUGAGGGAACCUCCCUGGAGCACAAUUCUGCCCUGCGACAGAAGGAAGCCUUUGAAGAUGGGACUCUUUCCUUCAGCCUAGAGCAGAAAGUGCCCCGGGAAGUCUGGGUGGACCGUGGCUUCUGUGAAGAACUCUCUGGCAGGAGGAACGGCUUUCAAAGACUUGGCAAGCUCGGCCUUCACCUUGCUGUGGAUUUCCUGUGACGAGACACCCGCCCCCUCCCCCAGAGGCUGAACAAUAGCUCUCACUCAUAGGCCUCACUGAUGGUCUCCUCCCUCGCUGCUGGAAGUCACUACAGCAAAGCUCUGCUCAAAGCAUGCUCAAACAGGGAGCUCAGAACUAAUGUAAAACUUCCAAUGAAGCUAGUUUGCUAAAAACAGCUGCUCGUAUUUCCUCUGAACAGCUACAGAGCCACUGGAAGGCCUGACUAGGAUAUUGGAUCAAGUGCUCCAAUGGAGGAUCCCUGGAGUUGCAGUAGAGAGCAGACUAAUCUGGGGAAGGGGAGUAUCAAGGAAACUGGAUUUCUAGUCCUUCUGUGUGGACCAAAGACACAGAAAAACUAAGGGCCUCAGCCUCCUUAUCUGUGGGAUUGGAAUGAGAUCACCCCCACUCGUGUGCUCACAGACACACUGGGAGGCUUUGGCCAGAGGCUGUAUCUGAAGAUGCUUGGCAACCAUCACAGCUUAUAGAUAUGUGAACAGCAGAUAGGGUUCUCUUUCUUUUUUUUUCAUUCUUUCUUUCUUCCUUCCUUCCUUUCUUUCUUUUUCUCUUUCUUUCUUCCUUUCUCCUUCCUUCUUUUCUUUUUUGAAUUUUUAAAUAAGUACAUUUUUUAAUCUUUUAUUUAUUUAUUGGAUAGAGACAGAGACAACUUGAGAGGGGCAGGGGAGCUAGAAAGAGAAAGAGCCAGAGAGACACCUGCAGCACUGCUUCACCACUGGUGAAGAUUUCCCCCUGCAGAUGGAGACAGGGGCUUGAACUUGGGUCCUUGCACAUUGUAAUAUGUAUGCUUAACUGGGUGUGCCACCUCCUGGCCCAUAGAGGAUAGGGUUCUUAGGAAGGAGACAGUUAUAUCAAGCAGG